rnacentral:lncRNA from 1 species
UGAUGGUUCGGUCAUUGUUUUGCCCUCAGACUGUGCACGUGAUUCACCUUGCCUGGACAGUCUUUCCUUUUCUACGGAACCGGAAAACACUUUCUUUCUUGUAUGGGGAUUCAGGAGAAAACACACAUGUGACAGAUUAUCAUCUCAUCUGGCUAGCUUUGUCAGGAAAGGAGGUGGUCCAGUAAGUGUACUUCCUGGAUAACUGAAAGUUAUCCUUAUAAGGAAGUUUAUCUUAUAUCACCUAUUGUGGCUAGAACCCUUGCUGAUGUCUGUCAAGCACUACCCUUCAUUCUAUAAAAGCAUACAUGCAAUGUCUGUCUGUCUAUGUCCGCGAUACCUAGGUCCAUCAUUAUUGUAGUAAGUGGCGUAUGCACAUCUCUCCAGGCGCUUUUAAAGUGUGUGGGAUGAUUUGCUUCUCCAUUGAAUAAACCCAUAAAAGUGGAUUUUUAAAGACA